rnacentral:lncRNA from 12 species
CAUCGCGCUGCUUGUGGGAAGGGACACGGCUGGGUUCGUGACCCGCUUGACAAACCCCAUCAGAUUUUCACACGUACUUGGUGGAGUUUGUCUUUCGCCAACGUAGAUGCUGCACACACGGUAAGGGGCGUCCACCGGCACCCCCCUGCCCCCAGAUGGGGGACAUCUCCCACGGAGGAUGCUCUGAAAUGCGGUGUGUCCAGCCUCGACCUCGGACUUUACCGGCACCUGAAUCUCUGCCCCAUCCUCCGGCUUGCAAAAUCUCGACCACCCUGGAAGGACGCCUGCCAUUGCAAGAAGCACCAAGAAUCUAAGCUUUGCCCUCCUUGCAAAAUAACAAGUGAACCUGCGCUGGUCCAUCUCUUCGGCAGAAGACAAGAGACUCCCGGCUCAGAGACAAAGGACUCUGAACUUCAGCAAUCGCAGCGGCCAGAGGAGCAGCAUUUUCAUGCUUGUCCCUGAGCCCCACCUGGAACCCCCAGGUCCCCUGAUCCCAAGGGGUGAUGGAUGUGGUCUGCACACGCAGGGGGUGGCAUUCCAGAAGAAGCCCAAGCUUGGGAAACUUGACUUUUCUGUAGACUGGCCUGCCUUUUGUUCCACAGGGAGGCAUUAUCUUUUUCAAACAGCAUGCUGAUGUUUGUUCCAGAGGGAGGCACUUUUCUUCCCUCCCACUAAUCUUUGCAAAGAUCAUCUGGAACAAAGGGCGGUCAGCCUCUCCUCGUCGAGUCUUGCAGAGUUGCCAGAGACCACAGAGAACGGUCUCCCAAAGGACCAGAGAAUUAAUUAUUUAGUUAAGUUUUUUUUUUUUCUCGAAUUAACUCCUGCCCCCAGUUUUGCACGUGAUGGCUUCUUCUCCCCUCUGCUAAUAGGCCCUGUGGCCUUGCAUGCAGCCAGGGGAGGUUGCAGUGUGGUUCUCCCUUCGGGGAGGACAAGGAGCGCAGCCUGCUGACAGCCUCCAGCCACAGUGUUCAAGCUGAGGCCGUGUCUCCCCAGCCCCAAAGCAAUGCCAGGAGACGACGGGGCAACAGCGUCUGGGCAUUCUUGCCCAAUAUGGGACCCCCUACAUCUGUCUUCCUGUGGGGCUGGUGAAGGGGCCUUCUCUGGGCUUCCCUGCAUCCUGUGGGUGUCCCCUGCCCCAUCUUCCUUUCAGAGACUUCGGGCCCGCACGGUGGCAUGAAGGCUUCUUUCUCUGCAUGCUCUGCUCCCUCUCCCCUUUAUCUCGCAGGUGUGACUCCAGGGGAAUCUUUUGCACAUACAACCCUGCCUUGAAGGACCCUAAGGACACACUUGAUUGCACCAGCCUCUAAAUUGCUCUUGGAAGAAUUAUCUGACAAAUGUGAGGCUGUGCCAGGCUGAUCUGUGUUUCCUCCAAGACCCUCUGUGGUGCAGGAGAUCCGAGAUGCUGUUGUACGACUCUGGAGCGUCCCCCAUCCCAGGGACGUGUCAGUGCUUACCCCACCUUUUUCUAGAAACCUGUCCACAACCCAUCACCUCCUCCUGGAAGCCAGAGACAGACUCCCCUCACACCUACAGUCUUGCAUGGACUCAUUGAGUAUCUGUUGCUCUUGCUCCUGUCGAGGAUCAGCUAAAGAUUGCCUCCCAGACCAGCCCCCAUGGCCACCCUUUUUACUGCUCUUUUUAUGUUCAUUUAGUUUUUAAUUUUUUAAAAAAACUCUCAUUUGUUUAUGAAUAUCUAUAUCUUCCACUUGAUGGCAAACUUCAUGACGUAGGAUUCUUUUUCUUUCUUUAAAGAUUUUAUUCAUUUAUUUGAGAGAGAGGGAGAGGGCAAAGCAGGUUCUCUCCUGGGCAGGGAGCCCCACAUGGGGCCCGACCCUAGGACCCCGGGAUCAUGGCCUAAGCCAAAGGCAGACGCCUAAUUGACGUGAGCCACCCAGGUGCUCCUCACUAUAGGAUUCUUACUUGUCCCCAGCGGCCAAAGCGAUGCCUGGGACACAGUGAGCAUUAAGUCAAAAUUUGCUGGAUGAAUAACAAAUGGCAUAUAUUCCGAAUUAUGAAUUUGCUGUAUCCUGAGCCUAAUAACAAUUCCAACCCAAAUUCCUGGUUCCUGAUAUUAUUCAAUUCCUUGUGCUCCUUCUUUUGUAUACUCAUGCAGAGUUAUCCUCUAAUGCAUUGUUAGCAUUGCGUCAAGAAUGAUCACAUUUACUUGGCACUGGGAGUGAACAUGUGAGGUGUCUGUCACUCGGCCAUGGAAGCAGCGGGAACCUCCGGGCUGAUGUCACUUGGGAGCCGUGGGCGUCACACACCAGCACUUACAGGCUCGGGGAAGCAUUUAUCGGCAUCUCUGUAGGAAUCAUCCCUGCUCCAACUGUGCUAAGAAAAGGACUUCCUCUGUGGUCACCUCUGGGAAAACCCACAAAGAUGAGCGGGCCUUUGCUCGCUGUCGAGACACAAGAGCGUCCUCUGAUCGGCCUGGAUGGCGAGUCUGCAAACACGAUGCUCCGGCCCCAUCCGCCGCCUCGCUGACCCUGCCGUGGGCCCUGGUGAUUUCAGAGCGGUCCACUGUUUCUGGAAGCCCACACCCUUCCUCGGCACUGUGUUCCCAGAAAGCCUGAGCCUGAGAUAUUUUUCAAACCUCGGGGGAUGACAAGGCCAAGUUGUCCAUGUUGUUACACGGCGCACCCCGUCAUCCGCACAUCACAGGCAGCUCAGGGCAUUCUUUCGAACACCCACCUGCGUGUGUCAAGACCCCCUGACUCCUACUUCUCACCCUGACCGUGACCAGCCACCAUGGGGCCUGAGAUUAGGGUGACUGUCAGCAGGAAUAAGGGAUAAGGAAGGAGUUCACACUGCACCCCGUAAAGUGAUUUUCCAAGUCCUGGGUGGGACGUAAUCCCACCCGCUGUUCCCGUGGGCUUGGCGGACAAUCCUUACUUUCUCCGUAUUUUGUAAAAUAACAUCGUUCAGCUCGUCCUCAGCGCUCCGUCUUACAAACUCCCCGGUGGCCGUUUCUGCUGGAUCCUUACUCUUUUUAUUUUUUUUUGUUUUCUCAUUGCUGUGACCGCUACCAGCAUCGUGGUGCUGGCGCUUUAUUUUUUUCCUCUGACUUUAUAUCAGCGGUUUUAAAUAAAAAUGUGAUUAUACUGUGUGCGUUCUUUGAU